rnacentral:lncRNA from 1 species
AAAACUGUAAUCCAAAAAUACACAGGUAAUGAAUCAACAAUGAAAGAAUUUCAAACUACAAAAAAUAUUUUCAUGUUCAACGAACUGUGAUAUGCUAUUUGAAAUGGUUUGGUUGCUUCUUUGUCUUUAGUUUUUGUGAUUUAUGGUUACGUGGCAACGGGUCCUUGCAUGUUCUACGAUUGUGACCAGAUUCUCUGCAUCUUCUACAUUUCACAACUUGUGAUCUCUCAUGGGCUGAUUUUUUCCUCGUCUCAGUAGGUCGGCCAAAACUUCUUUUCUGAUUUGGGGCAAAUACAAUUAUACUCUUCACAUCAAUCGACAAACUCCACUUUACUCUAUUACCUAUAUUCACAUAUGCAAUAGUCGUGUAAUAAUAUGAGUAGAAAUCAUACACAUCAAACUUCAAUGUUGCAAACACUGCUAGUG